AGUUCUUCAGUGGCAUGCUUUACGUCGUGUGCCAGCUAAAGCUGCCAGUUGAAGAACUGU
rnacentral:pre_miRNA from 1 species